AAAUAUGAGCCAUAGAAAUAGAUAUGUCCAGUUGUCGGAUUAACUUUGCUCAAGCUAUUCGUUUCAAUCACUAAAACGCAAAAAGAUGAGAAAAGUCGCGUUUUUCGUUUUAACACUCAUAACUAUCGUAAUUGCAGAUGAUAAAGACAUAGAAGACAUAGCAAAAAGGUUUGACACUGAUGCAGCGACAGUACAGACAUGUCUGGAC